rnacentral:rRNA from 1 species
GACGAACGCUGGCGGCGUGCCUAAUACAUGCAAGUCGAACGAAGCUUUUUUAACUGGUGCUUGCACCGACUUAAACAACUGAGUGGCGAACGGGUGAGUAACACGUGGGUAACCUGCCCCAAAGCGGGGGAUAACAUUUGGAAACAGAUGCUAAUACCGCAUAACCACAGAAACCACAUGGUUUCUGUGUCAAAGAUGGUUUCGGCUAUCACUUUGGGAUGGACCCGCGGCGUAUUAGCUAGUUGGUAAGGUAAUGGCUUACAAAGGCAAUGAUACGUAGCCGAACUGAGAGGUUGAUCGGCCCCAUUGGGGCUGAGACACGGCCCAAACUCCUACGGGAGGCAGCAGUAGGGAAUCUUCCACAAUGGACGAAAGUCUGAUGGAGCAACGCCGCGUGAGUGAAGAAGGUUUUCGGAUCGUAAAACUCUGUUGUCAGAGAAGAACGUGUGCGAGAGUAACUGUUCGUGCAGUGACGGUAUCUGGCCAGAAAGCCACGGCUAACUACGUGCCAGCAGCCGCGGUAA